UCCUGUUCUGUUUUCUUUUUAUUCUUUUGCUUUUGCUUCUGUAUUUUCUUCUUUUCUUCUUUUUUGUUUUUCAUUCUUUUUCUCUCUUCUUUAUUCCUUUUCCUCUUUUCUCUUUUUCCAAAAGGAAUAACUGUUGGAUUUAUCCUCUGUGCUGAAUCUGAGGGGGUGAAUGCCUUCAGGGAGGACAAAACCCAUCUCAAAUCCUACUGCACAGCACCGGAGCCAGGAAAGAGAGAAAGUCCUUUUCAAAGAUGAGUUUCUACAGCCCUAUAUCAGCCAAAGCUGCCCCCCAAAAUUGUGAAUGCACUCCAGUAAAUCCAGACCCACUUCGGUCUGAUUUACCCCAAACGUACAGAGGAGAAUGGAAACAGACUAGGGCCAAAAGUGAAAAAAUCAGCCCCAUAAUGUGAAAAAAAAACCCUGUUAACAAAGAUCUUUUGAGGGGAGCAGAUGGAGUUUGAACCUUGGAGCUGAAUCCAGGCAAAAGCUUAAUGAGGUCUACGGGAGGUUUACCUAAGUUGGAAACUCAUAACGGGGUCUUUCAUGUGCGCUUCUGCUCGCAUGUGCGUGUGCAUGCGCCUGUGUGUCUGUAUAUACACAGACACACGGAGGUCAUCCUUUAAAAAACCCGUCGGUUGUUUUAGAUAACAAAAUAACGUUACCUCACUCUUCCACUGGGAACACUUCAAAUGGGGAGGGAAGGACAUUUAUUUAACUAAGGAAAAGCCGCAGCAGCCACGAUGGGUGAGCACUGUGCAUGUGGGCAUGUGCAUGGGUGAGAACAGCAACGGGAUUUGUUCCUCUCCGGCUUGAGAAAGGUCUUUAAAGGAAGAGGGAGUUUAAAAAGACAUGAAUCCAUUAAAACAAACUGAAAGGUAUCCCAAGCACAAGCUUGGAGAGACUGGAGGUGCAUUGCUAAUAGCUGGAUCUAAUUAAUACAUGUCUGGGAGGAGGCAACCCUGAGGAAAUGGGGUAAAUAGUCUUCAGCUGGGGCUAUCUAUAAAUCAGAGCCAGCAACGUGAACAGCAAUACUGAGCAACUUCCUCUGGAGAUGGUCUGUGUUUCCAGGUUGUUGGAUAACCACCAUCCUUUGCUUUGUCUUCUAUUACAUAUUUUUUUGUUUGUUUGGUUUUUUUCACAAAUGAAAAGUGUGCAUUUGCCAUGUUUUAUUGUUGACUGAAAGGAAGCAGAAUGGCAGUGUAUGUGUAUAUUCACCACUUUCAAUGGAAAAGUCACGUCCAGCUAUGAGAUCCAGUCCCAUACAUGCAAGGGGCUCCAUCUUUCAGAUACAUCCAUUGGUGUUAGACCAAUGCCAAGCCAAGAGGGAAACACAAGACCAGGUAAUUGCAGGUGUGUGAAAGGGAGAAAAAUAAAUACCUGGAUAAUCUCUUUUCCACUUUCUUAUCAGGGUGUCCCUUUAAUUUUUGAGCAUCUUCUUGCCCAUUCAAAGCAGAGCAACUGAAAUUCUGCAUUUUGCCUUGAGAGAAACACCAGGGGAGCAUUGGAAAUAAGCUGAUUUUGUUAUAAAAAUAAUCUUUUAUCUGUGCUUGACAUAAAUAUUUAUUCAGGAAGGGUACACAGGCAGCAGGAGGUCAGUGCUCCCAUUGCUUGGCUCAGAGGCUCCAUCAUGCUCUUUAUUUUUUUGGACAAUUCUUUACCAUUGAUAUUUAUGCUUUCUGGGGAAGCCUGUCUUGAGUCGAUGUCACCUCAACACAAUUCAGUGGUUCCUUGUUGGUUCAGGAUUUUCAGCUCUGCACUCCAUGCCCCAUAAGGAAACAUGUCCCACUCCAUGCCUCCAUAAAGAAAUCCCCAUCCUCUUCGACACAAGCACAAACUCAUGCCUUUGGUCCCAGCUUACGGUGGUUGCAGUUGUACACACUUUUCAAAACAUGUAAUGAAACGUGCUGAAGACAACCUAUACUAAGUGUGGGGCAAUAUUAUUAUCUGCUCCUUCUUUUCCCCAUUCCAGUCCUGGGAGGCGUUGAUUCCUCUUCGAGCCUCUCUCCAAACACAGCACCAAAACGCAUCAGUAAUCAUAGAAUCGUUUGAGUUCUAAAGGACCUUUAAAAGUCACUUAGUCCAACUGCCUGCAACAAACAGAGAGCAGCCCUUUUGUCAGCAUGGAGGUGCCAAAAGCCAAACAGAAUCCGUCAUCUCAUUAAGAAGAGGGAGCGUUCACCUGGUGUUGAAGAACACCACAUUGUGUUGAUAACACACGCCUUGAGAACUGUCAGGAGGGAGUGAAAAGAGGGAGAAAAAAAGAUUUGCUUGUGAUGGACUUAAUCUAAGCCUUGCUGAAAGAUGCGAUCGAAUCCCAGUGCCGAGCGUGCCUGCAUCCGUCACCAUCUUCUCGCAUUUCAAACCUUUGGUUUUGGGAUGGGCUCUGCCGAGCUAUCUGCCUUCAGCAGCCUUCAGCAUGCUGCCCCAAGCUGCACUAAGACCUCAUUGUGCUUGGGGCUGUAGAAAUUCAGGAUAAAAACAACAGCCCUUGCCCUAAAGGUGAUUUUUGCAGAGGCUGAGCAACGCUCGCAGCUCCAUCAGCUCUCCACCAAGAGCCCAUGGAUGGAUGGGGAGAAGUGGGAGGAAGUGCUCAGUUGAUAUUAGCAUGAUGGGAACAACAACAAUCUGGGCUGCUGUCAUGUUUUGUAUUAUCUAUAAGGCACCACAGUGGUGGAGAGCUUCACAGAGGGGGCUGAAGAGAUUUUGCAGAUGUUUGAGGGGACCCUUCAGAGAGGGAGGAGGAGCCCGGUGGGAAUGGAGAGGUUCCUGCAAGGGAGCAAGGCACGGAUGGAGGUGGGCUGUGGUGGAUCUGGGGGUCACCCCAAGGACAGAGGAGGGUGGGCUGUGAUAUUCCACCAAGAGAGGAAGAGCUGGAAAUGAAGGGAUGAGCCCAGUGCAGGGAAUAGAGCACUGCUAUCAGUGAGGUGAAGCACUAGCCUUGGCACAGCUCAUCUGGAAGUGUCUUAGUGGAUACCAUGCAGGGAGAGGUGGCCUGGAGAGCUGAGGUUCUCACUGCUGGGAUGUUGGACUCACUGCUCCCAGAAAUGGGUCUGGGGGAGCUGUGGUGAAAUGAGGGGGCCUCACUGUGCUCCUACAUGACUUCUACACAAAUCUGUGAAUGUGCAAGCAGAGACAUGGAUUGGUUUUCAUGAUUCUGCAUGUAGAUCAUUAUAUUUAUCUCCCACCUUAACCUGGAGAUUGCUAUGUAUGUAGACAGAGAAGAAACAUUGCCAUCUUAUAAGUUUGCCUAGUCCUUCCCUGCACAUAUUGCAGUUUCUCUGAGUUUUCUUGAGAUUUAACCACUUUCAUCUAAAUUUCUCACUUUAUCCACAAAGGACACAAUUGGGAUUCACCAGGAACGGAAGACCUGAAAGCUGCAGAUGAACUGCAGUCAAACCAAAGGCAGCCACAGCUCCUGGCUGAACAAAAGGUGGUUUGAGCCAUGGGAGUUCAGAUGUUUUGAAAGGCAAAACAUAGUUUAAGAGAAGAAAAUUACAAAUGAUUUAUUUUUAUUAAUUUUGUUGGUUUUGUUGUGGUCAUUGUAGUUGUUCUUGCUGUUGUUACUACUUAUUGCUAUUAUUUUAUUUGCUCUAGAAGGUCCCCAGAAGUUUCAGAUAAACCCUAUAGUCACUGGGGUUUGCAGAUUAAUGUGAAUUCAUAGGAGUCCAUCGGAGUGUACCUUGCUCUCUCAAGCAGCAAGCAUGUCCCCAAGCCCUUCCCAGGAAACAGCAAUUGUAAUAGAGCCUUCCAGCAAAAUUUCACAGGGCUUUCUUCCCCAGCAGGAUAAAAUUAGCCAAGCUCUCUUGAGAUGACAGCUAAGAACUCCAGCUUCCCUCAGAUGACCUCAAUGGAGUCAUUUGUUGCUUAAAUGACAGACAAACGCAGUAAUUAGGUCUAUUUAGUAAAGGGAAGGUGAAAGGUCAAACUACUGGGCAAACUGUCUCCACCGCUUGACUGGGUGACCAAGGUUUGCAGGAGGUGAUGUUUGUACAACAACCUGACACUGGCAGCAGCCCGCCAGCAGGUCCCUGCUUGGCGGCAGGGCUCUGCAUGUCUGAAAUCCGCCUUCCCACUAAUGAAAGCCUGAACUCCCUCGCUUGUGUCAGAAGCGAUUAGAUCCAGAGGAAGGAAGAGCUGAUGAAAAGAUAGGUUAUUGCCAUACAGGGUGUGCAGCUCGGGCAAUAGGAUGAGAGAAGGGGAUCUGAAAGGGGUUGGGAGGCAUGGGUUCAGUUAACUGGGCAAUUACGAAUCUUCUUCUUCUCCUCUUCCUCUGUUCUCUGUGCUUAUUUGUUUUCUGAACAUGGCUGUGCUUCAUGUGAGCACAUGUGAUGGCAGGCACAAGCCACACCUGGCUUUCUCCCUCCUGCUUUGGCUUGAAAACCAUGGCAAGGGAUUUGUGUACUGUGAGCUAAACAUCCCAUGCACAGGAGAACAUUGGUUUCAGCUCAUCCCAAAUCUCCAGAAGAACACUGAACCAAAUAUUUAAUGGAUAGCACCAUGGCCCUUCCACCUGAGUUCCUGCCUGUCUCUUCUAACCACGACUGUGAAAUCCCCUCCCUGUCGAGGUCUCUUAACCCCUGUCUGUGGGGCCUCAUAGGGAGGUGCUGCUGAUGUCGAUGAGAGAGAGGGUCACAAGGAGCCGACGCGAGAGUGAAAAGAAAAUUAGAAAACAAAUAGAGAGGAGGUGGGAGUGCAACCCACACCCAUCCCCGGCGCAACCAGCUUUCCUGCAUGCCCUUGAAGUGCAAAGACCCCCCUCCGCAGAAGUGGGCUUAUCUUCAAAAAGAGCCCUUGCGAUGAUACAAGAAAGAGCAGACUUCUCACACCUUGUCUUCGCUUCCCGGAGAUGCUAUCUGCCCAGAAGUGCCUGUGAUCUCAGUCAGACCUCUCUACCUUGCCACUUGCCUUUUAAGUCUGUUUUGCUAAGGCAGAGGCCUUCCCACUUCAUCCUUUUCUCCCUCAGCGAUGGCAAGUGGGAAGACAGGCGGCGUUUCUGAUGCACCGGAGGAGCGGUAAAUGUCAUUCCAGAGCCUUUCUUUUGUAUAUUUUCUCAUGGACGGAUUAGUUUGUUUAAAGGGCAUCUCCUAUUUAACAACUCAUUGAGCAAAAAACACGUAUGGACACGAUUUUUUAAAGUGACUGCUUUAAGUCCAUGCGGAGUGCUUUAAUAACUGGUGUCAUCACCACAAGUACUGAUCACACAGGAGCUGGGCUCUUGAUGACUCAUGAAGCUUCUAUGAUCUAUAACAAUAUGACCUAUAUUUUUCCACUAUUUUUCUGUCCAAAACUGGACAAAAUCAUGACAUUAUGGAUAAAUAUUUGGGGUGUGAGUAAAUAAUCCAACAUUUGAAAUUAGGUUUGCAAUGCUGGUUUAUCUUACAGAGUUUUAUCUGUAUGCUCUGCUCAGAGUCCCAUGGCUCCUACACUGGCAUCAACAGGAGGGAUGUCCAUAAGACAAGAGCAAGGAGUUGCUUGCUUGGAUGGAGUCAUUCCCACAGUGUGAUAGUAACACAUCUCUUUUGCACUGCACCUCUGGUUACCUCUGCAGUGACCCCCCACCCACCCCCAGAAAUGCUGACGUCCUUUUAGGAGAUCCUCCUUCAUCUGUUCCCUCCCUCUGUGUGAUACAAACCACCCAACAGGUCCUCUGGAAAGGAAUUGCAUGGAUAAAAUCCACUUUAUCACCAGAUCUUUGAGUGUUUAUGACCUUUCAUUGGUCCUUCAUGAUACUUAUGGGAGAGAAGUGGCCAAUUCAGCCAGAUAACAUUUCUCUACCACUCUGCUUCUCUUCCUUCAGAAGUCUUCCCAUUGGGACUGCUCCUGGGGUAAGGUUCAACUCCUUUCCCAUAGAGCGGGUAUUCUUCAUAAGCAGGCAAAGCCUUGUAGAAGAAUUCACUAUAAUGGCAGUCUCAAACGCUUCCAACCCAAUCAACUCUCGUUCUGCACUUUGUAGGUCACUGCAAUUUCCUAUGAACCUAAGGGGAAAUUUUCUUGGGAAAAAAUUUGUUUUUCUGUAAGCUAACCAGCUGUUGAUUUUCCCCAAGGAAAGUCAAAUUAUCCUUGAUCAUCGUAUCAGCAGAUGUACAAAAAAGCCGAUCCAUCACACAAGAAAAACCUGAACCAAUUUCCUGCAUUUUCUGGGCUGUGAAUGUUAAAAAAUAAAACCCAGAUUCUUUUUCUUCUAGCUGAAAAAUGUCCAGCGCAAAAUCAAACGAUGACACCCAAGACCUUGAAGGACAUCAGGGAUUUGGUGUAUAUAGUUUACUUGAGAGAGGAAGCUGUUGGCCGAAAUUACAGUGUUUCAGGGACCAGUUUAAAUUGUAACCACGUUCCAGGGAGCUUGCCAGGGAGCCUAAUGGGCUGAUCUCAUUCACCUUGAUGUAAAUCCAGCGUAGCUCCACAAAAGCCAACAGCACUACUCCUGGCUCGGCACAGAGGUACCGCUGAGAUCACAAAUUGUGCAUUUCUAAUGAAGACAAAGUUAAGGGAACACGUGGAAAGCAAGGGUGUAGCAAUGUCCCUGGUCACAGGCUUUGAGUCCCAGAGGAAACAAAGCUGGCCUGAAUACUGAGGUUUUCAGAGAUGUUCUUCCAUUAACUUUCUCAGUAAAUUAGGAGUAACAAUGCCAGUUAACAAGGUUUCUGUGUUUAAAAGUUAGAACCCAGGUAGGAGCUGUUGCAGAUCUGCAUUGUUUGUGGCACGGUCCUUUGGUGAGGUGCAGAGGGUCUUCUCAGGAGCAUUGCCUGGGUACCCUGGGGCAACUGGAGAGCAUCGUGGGGAUUGUGCUUCAGGAGGAUGCUGAGAGUACGUUGGCAUUGACUGCUUAGCAUUCAGCAAGAUGAGCCUCGGCCACAAUCCUCCUCCAUCUGGGCUCAAGCAAAUCCUGUGUCACCUCCCAUUACAUGGGCCUAAGACCAUGAUACAUAUCCAUUUAUCACAGUCUAGCUCAGGUGCUGGGUUUCAGGAAUGCACAGGACCUCAGCUGAGCCCUUGGGGAUGUUCUUCUCCCCUUGCUGAACCUUUCCCCUGGCUCUCUGAGCACGUCCCAUUCAGGUCUCCUCUCUACAUGCCCUCCCUCACCCUGAUUACAUGAAGGCAUCGAUUUAUCUUCUUUCUCCCUCCCAAGUCCAAAGAGAAAGGCAGAAUUAAGAUAGGAACAGUGUAAUGAACUCCGUCAAUGGUUACUCAUUUUCAAAAAAUUUAGCUAAGCAUGUAAAAAAAAAAAAAUGCUGUGAGAAAUCUGAACAGGCUCCUUCCUUGGAUGCACAGAAAAAAUUCACUGUGAGGUCCCCAAGGACACUGUCUCCCUGGUUUUAAAUCUCAUGCAAGAGAGGAUAAAUUGAGAGCCCCUUCCCCCUCCUCCCCUGACAUUUCAUUUGUGAUUAAGGCACUAUUCAUCGCCCCUCGUCUUCCAAACCCUUUACUAUUUAUGGACCUGCUGUUUUUCCAGCAGUUGACACUAGCGUGCAUUCAGCUCAGCUCUUCUUUCCCCAUCCCAUCCUGUUCCCCCCCUCCUCUCCAUAAAGGCAUUUCUCCAUUUCAGUAGAGAAACCACUAGUGACUGGAGUGUCUGUGACCUCUGGGCUGUCAAACUCCCACUAACUAAAUAAAAGCAGCCCAAGAGGGAGAGAGUUAGCAUAAAUCACUUCCCGUGACAGAGACCACCUGGUAUACACUCGCUGCAUGGAGGUACCCAGUCUAUUCCAGCUGCUGAGUUUGCACUUUCCCGCAUUUUUAUGGACACCGUUGGAGAGAUACAUUGUGUUUACACAAGGAAUGGAAAUUUCAGUUUUACUGCAUGUAACUGAUUUCCUUGGCUGGCGGUGGGCAAGCUCUUUGAUUAGAGGAGCAAUGAGGCCCGUCACGUCCCCGAGGUGUGCUGUGAACUUAGCGGGUCUGUUCCUAGGUGCUAUGGGGCAAUCGCUUGCAAGGUUUGGACUCCUGCCCUUCUCGUCCACAUGAGAGCUUUUGCCACAGUCGAGGGCAGAAGAGUAGAAUCAUAGAAUCGUAGAAUGGCUUAGGUUGGAGGGGACCGCAAAGCUCGUCCAGUUCCAACCCCCUGCUGUGGGUUGGUUGACACCCAAAGGUCAGGCUACCCAGGGCCCCAUCCAACCUGGCCUUGAAGACAGAGGCCAGAUACAGGUCAAGGAAGACUUGACUGCUGCCAAAGCUUUCAUCUUCAUUGCCCCCUACUUUCUUGACCCAUCCUUAGGACCUCCCAGUCACAUUUACCCAUGGCAGGAACAGCCAUUCCCCUCAAACUCAUCUUGUCUAAACUACCACAAAGCCUUUGGUUGAUCUAAAGAUCAAUUGGGAUCAAGCAAAGUUGAUGUGAAGAUCAUCUGAAGAUCUGGGAUCUGCUUUGCCGAGAGAGAGGCUCUGCCUAGGGUCAGACACAGCCAUUGCCAGUGACUUCAUGUUAGCUACUCCCAGUGGUUGUGAACAAAGUGAGUUUGUGUUUUGCCCCUGCCCUAUACAUCCAGUAAAGUUGUUUUAAAUUAUUUCCAGCCAGGGUUGCAAUGCUCAUAUAUUAAGGUCUUAGAGUUUGUUAUGAAGCAGCAUCACCAUUUUUAAACAAAAAGACAUAUAUACCAAGCAGUGUUUAUUAAAAAAAGAGACUUUUGCUAACAACAAGAGAAUUUUGUUAAUGAUGUUCCAUGAACAAAGAGAACGGUUGUGGAGGGGGAGGAUUAACAAUAAAGAGGCAAAGCAAAGGCCAGUAAAAGCCCUCCAGUGAGAUGAACUUUUAAUCAGAGCAAAUAGGUUUAUGUAAAGGUCAUUCAGAAAGGAAGAGGAAGAUAAUUUCUAAGAGGUUUGUGAAAAUUAGAAAAGAAACCAAUUAUACUGUAGCUGAAAACAGCAGUGCACAGGUAUGUGGACUUUCUUCUGAUCCCUGUUUCUCCUUGCUGCAAAAAUUUCAAAGUUAUUUAUUUAUUUGUUUGUUUGUUUGUUUCAUGUGGGGAGUUCUUCCCAUUAGCAGUUUGGAAGAACAAGAGGCUGAGAAGGAUUUCAGGACAGGAACAUAUUUUUCCAUCUCAGAGGUUAUUGCAGCCAAAGUGCAGCUAUGGGAGCUCUGAAGCCAGCUGAUAGAGAAAACCCUCAGAGCUGGCGCACAAUUAAUUUUUUCAGACUGGUUCCAAACCCAAAUAACUCAGAGGAAAAGCAGUUUGGAAAUAAUUCAGGUGAGAUCAGCCAGAAAUGAUGUUUUGCUUUUGCACAGAAAAGCGAAGCCAGAAAUGAGAGUUGCAGUGAAUGAACCCAUUCACGGUGAACCUGCUCACUGUGAAACUGCCUCUUCUAAGUGAGCCCUGAUGACCCCUUGUACCAUGUGCUGUGUCUGGCUUGAUUUUCCUGAGGAACACUGGAGGUGCUGCCACAAAUGGCUCAGCUCAAAGGGGAACACAAUGCCAGGGUGUUCCUGUGCUCUCCUCCAGCCUGGCCUUGCACAGCUACUCUCUCAAACCCUUCUGUACCUCCAGAAAGGUGAAGCAGAGGGAAGAGAAGCUGGAGAGGUGUAUCUUCAGGGUCUGCACAGUCCAAGUGGCAGCUGGUAUGAGUGCUUUGGUAUUCAAAGGGACCAGUUUUCUGUGCUUCUUUUCUCCUUUGCACAACAAGACCAAGGCAUUGGUGUUGACUGAAGAGUGUCAUGAAGAAAUCAGGAGCUUUUGGGUCUCCAAAAUGCUGAACAACUGGGAGAGUACUCACAUUGAAGGCCUUCCUUGCCUUUCCUGACAUCUAUUAGUCACUUUUUAGACGUUGAGGUACUUAGAACUGCUAAGCAGAUAUCCUACCAGUUUGACCCCAACAGACUGGGGAUGAGUCUGUUGGGUGAACUGGCACUGGGGAUGAGUCAGGCACAUCCGAAUCCUUCCUCAAGUGUUUGGCAACCAGCUUUCUCCUCCCACCACUGUCUGAGAGCACCCAGGCAGCUAUGGAUGCUCCUUUGAGCGCUCCUAUAAUGGGAAGAGACAAGGAAGCAACCAAGGAAGGAGGUUGUCCCCAAGCCAGGUGCAGCUGCUGUCCCACAGUUCUCCACCCAAAGAGCUGGAGAGGGGUUUGCAUGUGUCUCCCCUGUCAGGCCAGAGAGUUUGCUUUUUCCUGGAGCCCCUUCAGCAGUGGGAUGCCAGAGAGCAUGCCAAAAGGAGAAAAUUCUUCAGUGACGUAAAUGCAGUAAUAGCACUUGUUAGUGGUAUGUGUGCUCCCUGCCAGGCUAGGGAGAGGAACUCGGGUUAUAUGUAGAACACUGUCUCUCUGUCCCCUUCACACACACACACACAAAAAAAACCCAAAUCAAAGAAAGCUUGAGCCCUUUCCAUAGGGUAUACCAACUCCAUAAAUUUAAUUUAGGAGUGCUGCACUUUCUCAGAUAAGGAUUUGAUUUGCUCAGGUUUACAGAGUUACAUUUAAUUGGAGUGCUCUGAGUAGCAAAAAUUGAGAGGUCUCCAUAAAGACUUAGACAAGCGGGACAUUAAUUGCAUUAUUUUCUUUACUGAUAAAUCUUAUUUGGUGGAGCCAGCAUCAUCAGAUAAAAAAUAGAUAAGAUCAAACCCUGCCUUUAAAUUCCAGAUCUCCUGGCUUGAGAAAAUAUGGAGAUCAGAUUACGGUGUAACAUUUAAUGGGCUUCAGAGAUUUCUGCCCAAGCAGGACGGUAAAAAAUGUAGAUCCUUCAAGAUCCUGAAAGGAGCAGAUAGGCUGUAUUUGUGCAGUAGUCAGCAGUUUCAGAUAAGGAACAGAGGAUACUCAGGUCUGAUUGCUGCCGUGCUGAAGUUUUCCACAUAAAAGCUGCACUCUGCUU